ensembl:lncRNA
UGCUCAGGUGAUGGAGCGGGGGCCUGGAACUCCCAGCCAGGGCUGUCCCCUCUUGCCGUGGGACAUCCCUGCAAGCGCAGCCCGAGGAGGCAGAGCAAAAGCUCUGAGGAAGGAGGCGAGGGACUGUGCCCUGUUCAAGCCUGAACUCUUAUUUCGGCUCGAAAGAGGAGAAGAGCUGUGCGUGCCAGCAGAGUCAGACCUGAAGGCAGCAGACGUGUCCCCGGAGCCAGCCGCAGAGCCGGGCUGCCUGAGCAAUGACAGUCUGCUGGAGCAGGUGACAAAGGAGUCUUGCGAGGAGAACUGUAGGGACCUGAAGGAAAGCAGGAGCCUGGCGAUGACGGCAGACUGCAUUGCCCCACACAUCCCUCACGAAGCCACCGCUAUCCCAGCAGAUCUCAGUCAGCCAACCCUGUUACCUUCCUGCCCGGUCCCUACACGUUGUCACGAAGAGGUGAAUCCGAGCUGGUCUCCAGCGCCGCCUCCUGCAGCAGCUGAUGCCAAUGUGGGGGUCCCAAUGGAGGUACCGCAGGAGGAGGUUGUUGCGGAGAAGCAGGCAGUGCCUGUAACACCCUCGAAGGGUCUGGAAGAGGAGGACACAAAAGAUUCAGGGAAUGAUGGCCAAGGUCUGGCGACAGAUGUUCCUGAUGAACUGGUUAAGGAGGCAAUACCAGAUGUCCGCAGAACGAUGCCACAGGCAGAUCCCAGCUGCACCAUCACCUCCCCAAGAAAGCCCAUAGAGAGCCCCUGCGUGGGCCGGACUGCAACCUGCCAGCGAAAUUCCACCCGGGAGAAAUCCUACUCCUGCCCUGUGUGCAGGAAAAACUUUCUGCUGAAGAUCAACCUGAUCAUCCACCAGCGGAACCACAGGAACAGCGUGCCUUACGUCUGCACCCACUGCGGCUGCAACUUCAUGUCCAAAAAGAAGAUCCGACGUCACCUGCGGUUCUGGGCGUCCAAGGGGUUCUGCCAGCCCUUGGAGGGGGAGCAGUGCCCCGGCCGGGCGGUGGGCCCUGCCUCCCAGCCCUGCACCCAGAGCAGUACCAUGUGGCAGGUGCCCAACCCCAACCAGUACCCGCUGUCGCCUGGGGUGAUGUACACGUGCAACCUGUGCGCGGAGAACUACUCCAGCCAGCGCUUCCUGGUGCUGCACCAGCACAGGCUAACCACCGCCUGAUCCUCUGGCCCUGCUGUGUCAGGUGCCUCACUCAGCCUGCUGACUUUGUCCGCUGCUGGCAGACCCUAGCAGGCGCCGGCACAAACCAAAAGACUUCCAAGUGGCGCUGCCACCUGAUAGCACAUCGGAGGGUCCACGUGUGGCAACGUGCCCCUGCAGGGACCAGCUCCCCGUCACCCAUUGAGGUGGAGGUGGGAGGCACAGCAAAAGCGCAGGUGGGAGACCAGCGGGUGUGCUGGUGAUGGGCUGCGCUCCUGCCAUCUCCUCACCCCCUUCAGCUGUGGGUGUGAGCUGACCGAGGAAGGCUGGAGCACCGGCCGCGUCACCCAGCUCCUGCCCACCACCGGGAUGGAUGGUGCCUGGCCCUGUCCACGCAGACCCUUCAUGCGCCAGUUGCUCCUUGUUCCUUGGCCCCGGGAUGGUGGGACAGCGGGAGUGGGACCCUGUUUCUGGAGGGCACCAAUAGAUGCUGUAGUCACCAGGAUGUCUCCCAUGGCUCCAUGUGGCUUCCUUCGGCUCUGGGGGGGCCUUGCUGUGCCUGGCUGGGGUGGGGUACCGGGAAUGCCAGUGGGUUCCUCCUGGUGGGAUGUGAUGGGGGAGUGAUGCCAGGGGAGCACUGGUGUGUGUGGGUCAGCUGGUG